AGUCGAACGUGAAAGCACUUCGGUGUGAGUAGAGUGGCGGACGGGUGAGUAACGCGUGGGAAUCUGCCCAGUAGUGGGGGACAACUACCGGAAACGGUAGCUAAUACCGCAUACGCCCUAUGGGGGAAAGGCUUCGGCCGCUAUUGGAUGAGCCCGCGUCAGAUUAGCUAGUUGGUAGGGUAAAGGCCUACCAAGGCAACGAUCUGUAGCUGGUCUGAGAGGACGAACAGCCACACUGGGACUGAGACACGGCCCAGACUCCUACGGGAGGC
rnacentral:rRNA from 1 species